GAUGAACGCUAGCUACAGGCUUAACACAUGCAAGUCGAGGGGCAGCGCAGUGUAGCAAUACAUGGGCGGCGACCGGCGCACGGGUGCGUAACGCGUAUCCAACCUUCCCGUUACUCAGGGAUAGCCUUCCGAAAGGGAGAUUAAUACCUGAUGGUGUUCAAAUUCCGCAUGUUAUUUGAACUAAAGAUUCAUCGGUAACGGAUGGGGAUGCGUGACAUUAGAUAGUAGGCGGGGUAACGGCCCACCUAGUCUACGAUGUCUAGGGGUUCUGAGAGGAAGGUCCCCCACACUGGAACUGAGACACGGUCCAG
rnacentral:rRNA from 1 species